GUCACGUAGGAGACUACCUUGUAUGCUAUAAAAACCUGUAGGAAUGAGUAGAAUAAAACUUUCUUUUGCAUGAACACAGAGACGGGGUUGGCUCCCUUCUUUCACAAUUGGUGCCCCAUGUGAGGCUCACCAAUCCUGACCACAACAUUUGGAAGCUGCGCAGUAAGUACAAGUGAGUUGUCUCGCGGUGGGUCAGUAGUUUCAGCCACUCAACGAUAUGGGUCAGUCUCUCAGUGUUCCCCAGCGCUGGUAUGUGUUAAUUUUACAACGGCUGCUGCAGGCUAGUGGAGCUUCUGUUUCAGAAGACGAUUUAUAUUCUUUAUUGCAUGAUGUUGUUCAACACAACCCUUGGUUUCCUGAGGAAGGCACAUUAGACUUAGAUGUGUGGGAGUGCAUUGGAUGAAAUUUAAAGCACCACUCUGAGCGAGGACAGAAAGUUUCCUCUAAAACAUUUACUACAUGGGCUCUUGUUUGCACUGCCCUGGCCCCUCUUCAUAUUGCCAAGACUGAGAGUUCUGAAACUGAGGUCCCUAAAAAAGAGACUGCCGCUCUCUCCGAUGAAGGCCUCCCACCCCCCAAGCCCUCGGCCCCCAUACCGUUAGCUGAUAAAGGUGGCGGGGAAAUGACCAUAGCCUUGCUCCCUCCCCUUUCUCCUUUACCGCCGCUGCUGCCACCGCCUCCCCCUUCCUUCCAGAGGUGCCGCACCCGUUUUACAAAGUUGUCUGUGCAAAGAGGCAUUAACUGGCAAUCUUAUUUGCCCCAUUAUGCUUAACCAGUUGCCCAGAAAUUUUUCCUGGAGUACCAGGACUGGAAAGUCCAGGUGGAAGCACCCGCCACAGACAAACACCAAACACAUCUCAGUUAAGGCAGCUUUGCAAUUCAGACUUUCCUUGUGCUGGUUAUUUUUAAAAGGUUUUCUGUCACAAAACAGCCCAGUGGAACACUGGAGCCCACCGUCCUGUCUCCCACAGAACCAACGAUGCUGCACUAUGACAACUGUACAAAGAAGAUACCCCCCAAAGCUGACUCCAAUGAACAGCCUAAGAAGACAUCACGCCCAUCCCCGGAACCCCGAUGAUAUCCCUAUAAAUGAGCUUUAUGUCAUUACACCAAAUUGUAAUCAUAAUAAAAAGGGGGGCGAUGUGGAGACACGGAAGGUUCCCCGGCUUGAUCGGUUAUUCAGGGGGGCCAUCUCCUAAGCAUCGGGAGCCUGAAGGCGGGCGCCAGGCUGGGGGAAGGCCAAAGCUUUGCAUGCCUGAAGGCAGGCAAUUUAGAUAAGGGUAAAGUCGUCGGGCUCCUUCCGUGCUCCUGUCUCCUGCUGCCUCCCGUCUGUCCGGCCCCGAAGAGAUUGUCCCUUGAGAUCAAAGACAUGCAAUCAUGACCUUAUGGCUUAGAAAAAAUGCACCCUCCCUGGAAGACCUGAACACAGGCGCGUAAAAAACUACCUUGUAUGCUAUAAAAACCUGUAAGAAUGAGUAAAAUAAAACUUUCUUUUGCAGAAACACA